rnacentral:rRNA from 1 species
CAGUCGCCGCGGUAAUACGAGGGGGGCAAGCGUUGUUCGGAAUUAUUGGGCGUAAAGGGCGCGUAGGCGGUUUGGCAAGUUUGGUGUGAAAUCUUCGGGCUCAACUCGAAGUCUGCAUCGAAAACUGCCGGGCUUGAGUGUGGGAGAGGUGAGUGGAAUUUCCGGUGUAGCGGUGAAAUGCGUAGAUAUCGGAAGGAACACCUGUGGCGAAAGCGGCUCACUGGACCACAACUGACGCUGAGGCGCGAAAGCUAGGGGAGCAAACAGGAUUAGAUACCCCCGUAGUCCCUGUCUCUUAUAC